GACGAACGCUGGCGGCGUGCCUAAUACAUGCAAGUCGAACGCAGUGGGGACGGGUGAGUAACACGUGGGUAACCUCCCAUCAGAGGGGAUAACACUUGGAAACAGGGGCUAAACCGAUACUGAUGGAUGGACCCGCGGUGAAUUAGCUAGUUGGGGAGGUAACGGCUCACCAAGGCCACGAUGCAUAGCCGGCCGGAGAGGAUGAUCGGCCACACGUGAACGGAGACACGGCCCAGACUCCUACGGGAGGCAGCAGUAGGGAAUCUUCGACAAUGGACGAAAGUCUGACCGAGCAACGCCGCGUGAGUGAAGAAGGUUUUCGGAUCGUAAAACUCUGUUGUUAGAGAAGCGGUAUCUAACCAGAAAGCCACGGCUAACUACGUGCCAGCCGCCGCGGUAAUUC
rnacentral:rRNA from 1 species